ensembl:lncRNA
GUUACUAAGCAGCAUCAAAAUGGGGAGACUAACUAUAAGACAAACAGAUUGCACUGAAAACUUUUGAAUGGUGACCGUCAGCAAACACAGCGGGAACGCAAGGGUAAGUCAGUAUAACAGCAUGUUUAUUGAAGGCAGGGGCAGGAGAAGACAAUACACUAGUGAGAUGGGAAGUAUCCAGGUAGCGUACUGGGUAGAGCAGCUUAGCUUGGUGGAGUCAUGUGUCCCUUCCUUUCUUCCAGGUGGGAUCACUGGAGCAGAGGAUUGUGGGAGCACUGGAGAACAUGGAGUCAAUCACUGGAGAUCUGGCAGAUCUGCCAGCAGAUGGAAAGAGGAAGAGAGCACUUGCUUUGUUUUUUAUUUAUGUCACUCCAGCAGUAGCAGACCAACCGUCUCUCAGAGCAGCAGGUGCUUGUGGGUGAUAAGAACUACCUGUCAACUGGUUCACUCUCACCUGUCACACUCAGACUGCUGUGGAGUGCUAGAUACAGUCAGACCGCUGCAGUGUGUGUGUGGGUGUGCACAUCGAAUGAGUAAUACAUGUAUUAAAUAAAAUGAAAGCAAAUAAUAAAAUCAUUGCUUUAAUUAAUACCUCAAUUCAGGUUCAUUAUAUUUAUUUUCAUUAGUUAUUUUCAUUAAAUUUUAGUUUCAUUAAAUAAUUAAAGAGAAAUAAAAUCUAACAUUUUUAGUUUCACAGAG